rnacentral:lncRNA from 1 species
UCUCCCUCAUUAUCGGUGCUCCUGCCCCGAGGGCCAGCCAGGGGCCCCACACACCGCAGUCUUUUGGCUGGGGUCAGAGAAACCUUACGGGCAAGGGCAACAAUAAAACUACCACCUUACCACCCCAGAGUGCAUUCCCCUGAGCAGAGACCCCAGACUGCAUCAGCCCCACCCCGAGCAGAGACUCCUGCCUGCCUCAGUCCACCUGUCCAGAGACCCCGGCCUGCAUCAGCCCCACCACGAGCGGAGACCCCAAGACCCCAGUCUGCCUCAGUCCACCCAUCCGGACACCCCCUGCCUGCCUCAGCCCACCCUGGGCAGAGACCCCCAAACCCCUGGCUGCGUCAGCCCACCUGGAGCAGAGACCUCGAGACCCCCUGCCUGCAUCAGCCCCACCCCGAGCAGACUCCAAAACCCUGGUGUGCCUCAGUCCACCUGUCCAGAGACCCCUGCCUGCCUCAGCCCACCCCGAGCAGACUCCUGCCUGCCUCAGCCCACCCCGAGCAGAGACCCCAAGACCCCUGGCUGCCUCAGCCCACCUGGAGUGGAGACUCCGAGACCUCUGCCUGCAUCAGCUCCUCCCAUCCAGAGACCCCCUGCCUGCCUCAGCCCACGCCAAGCAGAGACCCCAAGAUCCCUGCCUGCAUCAGCCCCACCCAUCUGGAGCCCCUGGCCUGCCUCAGCCCACCCAUCCCCCUUCAUUGCAUUGGUCUCCAUUCCUUUCUCCACAGCUUCCCAGCACUCUUGGGCCAAGGCCUUUCCCCAGCUCCAGGUCCAGCUGCAAGUGAGGUUCAGGCCUCCCUUGGCCCGUGCCACGGGGAGAGGCAGUCACCUGGCGAGGAUGCCCGGGUGUGGAGGAGGGACCUGGGCUGGGGCUGUGUCAUGGGGAGGGGCCGGGGAUGCCCCCUAGCGGACCAGGAUGGGGACUCUGAUGCGGGGAUGUGCGGGGAGGUGGUCGCAGAGGCAGAGGGAGGGCAAAGCUGGAAACGGGGAGGGGAAAGGCCCCUCACACUGGGUGCCCGCCCUGCAAGUGUUGUGCUGGCCAGGAUGAGAAGCUGCGGCCACUCAGCAGCCCUGGAGCAGCCCAUGGACGGCCCAGGCCACUGGGGAGGCUCCAGGGAGGGGCUGGCAGGCAGAGGCCCAGAGGCAGGACCCGCAGCUCAAGUUGAAUGGGCACCAGGGCCACAAGGAGGCCGAGGCCGAGGUCGGGGCACCGUGGGACCCCUGCCCGCAAGGAGGGGUGUGCCCCGUGGGCUGUGCAGGGCUGGGUCUUGCUGUUUUGGCCCGUGCUUUCCCUCUGUGCCUCUGCCUGUUCGGAGCCCCUGGAGCUCUGAAGGAAGGUCUGGGGGCAGCAGGGGACCUGGAUGGCUGGGGUAG